UACAGAGGGUCCAAGCGAUGAUCGGAAUCACUGGGCUUAAAGGGUGCGUAGGCGGCGCUGCAAGUGUCUUGUGAAAUCCCUCGGCUCAACCGGGGAAUUGCUCGGCAGACUGCAGCGCUUGAGCUCGACAGAGGUCGUCGGAACGAUAGGUGGAGCGGUGAAAUGCGUAGAUAUCUAUCGGAACGCCGAAGGUGAAGACAGGCGACUGGGUCGACGCUGACGCUGAGGCACGAAAGCGUGUGUAGCAAAUGGG
rnacentral:rRNA from 1 species